UGAACGUACGCACGCCGCGCCCACCGCCCUGCCCAAACCCCAACUCGGGCAUCGACUUCGGGACGAGGACGCGCGACGGCGGCAGGCUCGUGCUCACGUAUACAAACCCGUCACCUACACCUACAACCGGACGCAGAUCAAGCAUGUGGUUAUAGUCAGAUCGGGAGAUAGCUCGCAUAUAUAUGGCAUGAUGUUGAGGAUAACUGGAGCGGGUUCCGCUCAGUAUAUGUGUAGGGGAUGUAAGCGCAACCAAUACUAUUGUGUGAAUACAUAAGAGAUGCAGGUAAGUAA